UACGUAGGAUGCAAGCGUUGUCCGGAAUUAUUGGGCGUAAAGAGCGCGCAGGCGGUAUGACAAGUCAGAUGUGAAAGAGGCCGGCUUAACCGGCAAGGGUCAUUUGAAACUGUCAGACUAGAGUGCAGCAGAGGAUAGUGGAAUUCCCGGUGUAGUGGUGAAAUGCGCAGAUAUCGGGAGGAACACCAGUAGCGAAAGCGGCUCACUGGACCAUUACUGACACUGAGGCACGAAAGCUAGGGGAGACAAACAGGAGUUAGAAAACCCU
rnacentral:rRNA from 1 species